rnacentral:rRNA from 1 species
AGAGUUUGAUCCUGGCUCAGAUUGAACGCUGGCGGCAUGCCUUACACAUGCAAGUCGAACGGCAGCACGGGAGCAAUCCUGGUGGCGAGUGGCGAACGGGUGAGUAAUAUAUCGGAACGUGCCCAGUCGUGGGGGAUAACGCAGCGAAAGCUGUGCUAAUACCGCAUACGAUCUAUGGAUGAAAGCGGGGGACCGUAAGGCCUCGCGCGAUUGGAGCGGCCGAUAUCAGAUUAGCUUGUUGGUGGGGUAAAAGCCCACCAAGGCGACGAUCUGUAGCUGGUCUGAGAGGACGACCAGCCACACUGGAACUGAGACACGGUCCAGACUCCUACGGGAGGCAGCAGUGGGGAAUUUUGGACAAUGGGCGCAAGCCUGAUCCAGCAAUGCCGCGUGCAGGAUGAAGGCCUUCGGGUUGUAAACUGCUUUUGUACGGAACGAAACGGCUCUUUCUAAUAAAGAGGGCUAAUGACGGUACCGUAAGAAUAAGCACCGGCUAACUACGUGCAGCAGCCGCGGUAAUACGUAGGGUGCGAGCGUUAAUCGGAAUUACUGGGCGUAAAGCGUGCGCAGGCGGUUAUAUAAGACAGAUGUGAAAUCCCCGGGCUCAACCUGGGACCUGCAUUUGUGACUGUAUAGCUAGAGUACGGUAGAGGGGGAUGGAAUUCCGCGUGUAGCAGUGAAAUGCGUAGAUAUGCGGAGGAACACCGAUGGCGAAGGCAAUCCCCUGGACCUGUACUGACGCUCAUGCACGAAAGCGUGGGGAGCAAACAGGAUUAGAUACCCUGGUAGUCCACGCCCUAAACGAUGUCAACUGGUUGUUGGGUCUUCACUGACUCAGUAACGAAGCUAACGCGUGAAGUUGA